UCCAGACUCCUACGGGAGGCAGCAGUGGGGAAUAUUGCACAAUGGGGGGAACCCUGAUGCAGCGACGCCGCGUGGGUGAAGGAGCACCUCGGUGCGUAAAGCCCUAUCGGCAGGGAAGAAACAGACGGUACCUGACUAAGAAGCCCCGGCUAACUACGUGCCAGCAGCCGCGGUAAUACGUAGGGGGCAAGCGUUAUCCGGAUUUACUGGGUGUAAAGGGAGCGUAGGUGGCAGGGCAAGUCAGAUGUGAAAACCCGGGGCUCAACCCCGGGAGUGCAUUUGAAACUGUCCAGCUGGAGUGCAGGAGAGGUAAGCGGAAUUCCUAGUGUAGCGGUGAAAUGCAUAGAUAUUAGGAGGAACACCAGUGGCGAAGGCGGCUUACUGGACUGUAGCUGACACUGAGGCUCGAAAGCGUGGGGAGCAAACAGGAUUAGAUACCCCAGUAGCU
rnacentral:rRNA from 1 species